rnacentral:rRNA from 1 species
AGCAGCCGCGGUAAUUCCAGCUCCAAUAGCGUAUAUUAAAGUUGUUGCAGUUAAAAAGCUCGUAGUUGAAUUUCGGGGUCAGCAAGUUGGCCGUGCCACUGGUAUGCACUGGCUUUACUGAUUCCUCCUUCUUGAAGAACUGUAAUGCUAUUAAUUUAGUGUUGCAGGGAAACAGGACUGUUACUUUGAAAAAAUUAGAGUGUUUAAAGCAGGCUAACGCUUGAAUACAUUAGCAUGGAAUAAUGAAAUAGGACGUUUGAUCCUAUUUUGUUGGUUUCUAGGAUUGACGUAAUGAUUAAUAGGGAUAGUUGGGGGCAUUAGUAUUCAAUUGUCAGAGGUGAAAUUCUUGGAUUUAUUGAAGACUAACUACUGCGAAAGCAUUUGCCAAGGAUGUUUUCAUUAAUCAAGAACGAAAGUUAGGGGAUCGAAGACGAUCAGAUACCGUCGUAGUCUUAACCAUAAACUAUGCCGACUAGGGAUCGGAUGAUGUAAUUUUUAAUGA